GCCCUGGUUGAUUAAUGGAAAUCACCCACACCCCUUGAGGAGUUAAGCGAUGAAAACUAGAACGGGUUGAUGGGGGGAGACGGAGGUUCGAAUCCUCCCCAGGGCA